rnacentral:sRNA from 1 species
CUUGGUCAUUUAGAGGAAGUAAAAGUCGUAACAAGGUUUCCGUAGGUGAACCUGCGGAAGGAUCAUUACCUAGAGUUUGCGGGCUUUGCCUGCUAUCUCUUACCCAUGUCUUUUGAGUACUUACGUUUCCUCGGUGGGUUCGCCCGCCGAUUGGACAAUUUAAACCCUUUGCAGUUGCAAUCAGCGUCUGAAAAAAAUUAAUAAUUACAACUUUCAACAACGGAUCUCUUGGUUCUGGCAUCGAUGAAGAACGCAGCGAAAUGCGAUAAGUAGUGUGAAUUGCAGAAUUCAGUGAAUCAUCGAAUCUUUGAACGCACAUUGCGCCCCUUGGUAUUCCAUGGGGCAUGCCUGUUCGAGCGUCAUUUGUACCUUCAAGCUCUGCUUGGUGUUGGGUGUUUGUCUCGCCUUUGCGUGUAGACUCGCCUCAAAACAAUUGGCAGCCGGCGUAUUGAUUUCGGAGCGCAGUACAUCUCGCGCUUUGCACUCAUAACGACGACGUCCAAAAGUACAUUUUACACUCUUGACCUCGGAUCAGGUAGGGAUACCCGCUGAACUUAAGCAUAUCAAUAAGCGGAGGAAAAGAAACCAACAGGGAUUGCCCUAGUAACGGCGAGUGAAGCGGCAACAGCUCAAAUUUGAAAUCUGGCGUCUUUGGCGUCCGAGUUAUAAUUUGCAGAGGGCGCUUUGGCAUUGGCAGCGGUCCAAGUUCCUUGGAACAGGACGUCACAGAGGGUGAGAAUCCCGUACGUGGUCGCUAGCCUUUACCGUGUAAAGCCCCUUCGACGAGUCGAGUUGUUUGGGAAU